rnacentral:snRNA from 1 species
GUGCUCGCUUCGGCAGCACAUAUACCAA